AGAGGCGGCGCCAGGGAGGAGCUAGGUGGUGCUGUAGCUCCCCCUAUAAUAUCCAUAGCACCCGCCCAGCACCCCCAAGAAAUGUCUGUAAUAUUUUAUAUGUUUAUAUUUUAAUGUCAUGUUUGAAUAGUCUUUUUCAUGUUGUUAAAAAAGGAAUUAAAUAAUAAUUUAAAAAUAUAAAUUUUAGUGUAAAAUAACAAGGCCCAAACAGGUGAUCUUCUUUGGCCAAUGGGCGCAGCGCCUGGUGAACCUUUGACCUUAACGCACAGCAGUUUGUUUUUGAUAGCAAAUUUGGAAAUUUAGCAAAGACCCUUAAUUGCGACAACAUCAUUGAUGCCUUCGCACUCAAUCAAAAGUUGUGAAGACGUCUAUGAUGAUGAAGAUGAUCAGCAUGAUGUCAGUGUGUGAUGUGAGGAGAGAGAUGAGAGAGGAGCUAUAAGACACUGAGGAGGAUGAAGAGGGAGGAGCUUCACCAAACAUCAUCAUCAUCAUAAUUCAACAUCAGAAGUUUCUGUCCUGAAGAAAAUCUUCACACAUCACUGAAUCUGAUUGAAGUGAAAGAUCUCAUAUAUCUCAAACUGAAGACACGCUUGAUCUGAGAAACUCACAGGUGAGAAGAGUGAAGAAAGUGAAGAAUAUUCUGAUCAUCUUGUGAUUUGUUUUGUGUAAAGAUGAGCAGAUGAUGUUGAAUAAUGCUGAAAUGAUCAGACAGAGAAACUUUAAGAGACUCAAGAGAUCUGGAGGGAGGAGCUAAAAACACAAAACACUAUAAGACCCACACACAUCAUCACAAUGUACUGUAGACACAUGAGAUUCAAGAUGUGAUGAAGAUUUGAGUUAAACAAGAUCCUUUAUAUGAAAUGUUCAAUAAGAGUAUUAACACAAUUAGUAAAUC